rnacentral:tRNA from 1 species
GUUGUUUUUAUCUUAACUUUGAAAGUUUUGUUUGGUCACUCCGUACAACU